rnacentral:rRNA from 1 species
CAGUAGCCGCGGUAAUACAGAGGGUGCAAGCGUUAAUCGGAAUUACUGGGCGUAAAGCGCGCGUAGGUGGUUUGUUAAGUUGGAUGUGAAAUCCCCGGGCUCAACCUGGGAACUGCAUCCAAAACUGGCAAGCUAGAGUAUGGUAGAGGGUGGUGGAAUUUCCUGUGUAGCGGUGAAAUGCGUAGAUAUAGGAAGGAACACCAGUGGCGAAGGCGACCACCUGGACUGAUACUGACACUGAGGUGCGAAAGCGUGGGGAGCAAACAGGAUUAGAUACCCGAGUAGUCCCUGUCUCUUAUAC